rnacentral:rRNA from 1 species
GAUGAACGCUGGCGGCGUGCCUAAUACAUGCAAGUCGAGCGAACAGAUGAGGAGCUUGCUCAACUGACGUUAGCGGCGGGCGGGUGAGUAACACGUGGGUAACCUACCUAUCAGACUCGGAUAACUACGGGAAACCGGAGCUAAUACAGGCUAAUAUAUUGCAACGCAUGGUUCAAGAGUGAAAGGCGGGUUUUGUGGCACUUAGAGGUGGAUCCGCGCCGCAUUAGCUAGUUGGUAAGGUAACGGCUUACCAAGGCAACGAUGCGUAGCCGACCUGAGAGGGUGAUCGGCCACACUGGAACUGAGACACGGUCCAGACUCCUACGGGAGGCAGCAGUAGGGAAUCUUCCGCAAUGGGCGAAAGCCUGACGGAGCAACGCCGCGUGAGGGAUGAAGUUAUUCGGAUCGUAAAAGUCUGUUAUUAGGGAAGAACAAAUGUGUAAGUAACUAGGCACUUCUUGACGGUACCGAAUCAGAAAGCCACGGCUAACUACGUG